rnacentral:lncRNA from 1 species
ACGAAAAUCGGCUGUUACAGAAGCGAACUCCAGAAGCGCGUUUUACAAAAGCUGUUUUGGUUCAGAUUUUUAGCUAGUUAUAUUUAUGUUAGCAUAAUCGAAUUUCUGGAUGAAGUGUGUCUUGAAAAGCGCAUUUUACAAAAGCUUUUUUGGUUGAUAACACGCGUUUGCAGAAAGUUGUUUUCAGAAGCGUGUUUACUGAAAUUACAAAGAAGGUGUAGUGCCGUUUGUGUUCAAUUCAGAUUUCCAGCAAGGCGUGGGCUAAAUCAUCAGUCUUGCUGGGCUUCAAUAUGGUUUCCUAUGUUUUCAUAUAUUUUAAGCUAUUUGUUAGUUUUACCCCCAAUUUUACCUAGUUACUUUAGUAUGAAUAAAUUGUAAUUUUCAUUGUAUUUCAAACUCAAAUUGGUGAAUUUUCCCACUUUGAGUUUGAGGGAACUAUUAGAAUAUAGUUAGUUAGAGUGUUUGAGAAGUUUGGUUAAGAGUUAGUUACACAGCUAAACUCUAUAUAUAGGAACACUCAU